GGGCCGUUAGCUCAGGUGGUAGAGCACCUGACUUUUAAUCAGGGUGUCACAGGUUCGAGUCCUGUACGGCCCACCA
rnacentral:tRNA from 2 species